UACGUAGGGUGCGAGCGUUGUCCGGAAUUAUUGGGCGUAAAGAGCUCGUAGGCGGUGUGUCACGUCGGCCGUGAAAACCUGCAGCUUAACUGUGGGCGUGCGGUCGAUACGGGCAUCACUGGAGUUCGGCAGGGGAGACUGGAAUCCCUGGUGUAGCGGUGAAAUGCGCAGAUAUCAGGAGGAACACCGAUGGCGAAGGCAGGUCUCUGGGCCGAUACUGACGCUGAGGAGCGAAAGCGUGGGGAGCGAACAGG
rnacentral:rRNA from 1 species